AUAUUCCCUCUCCCCACGCUCUAGAGAUCCUGAUUUAAUUUCUCUGGGGUGGAGCCUGCACAUUUGUAUUUUUUAGGUUAUGCACUUUAUUCUAAUGUGUAGUGUGGAUUCAGAACAGCUCGUCUAAAAUGAAGGGUCUGCAGAGACCGAUGUACGGGGUGCCAGAGGGAAACCACGUGUGAGAGAACAAGGCCUUCAUGCUUUGUAAGAGAGGACAGAACCAGAUCACAAGGGCUACUUAAAAAAGCCCUCCUCUUGCUUUGCAUUCUUCCAGGACCUGCAACCGGUGAUUGAACUACCAGUUUCUGAAGGCCACCCAUUCACACCUAUUUCCCGCUACUCCAGGCUAUCUGCAGCUGGAGGAGGCCGUGAGUCACCGUUUUGAGCCUAGAGAUGUAAACAGAAGUUGCUGGGAAGAGCUUCUAGGAAGCCUCUGUAAGAUGAUUAUCUCAGUUGGGUCUGUCUUUUUGCUUUGUCCAUCCCUUUUUUAACUUUGGAGUGUGCGUGUGAUACAGGAGGUGAAGCAGUCAUUUUGUGACUAUGAGGAGAUAAAGCCACAUGGGUAAGUUGGCAGAGCAGGACACUGGGAGAAGCAUGUGCUUCUGUUGGCAAUGAGGGAUCAUCAUACUAUUCCUAAACAGUCUAAGUCCUGAGGUCUCGUGUGUGUUCUUACUUGUUCAUUACUCUACUUUUUCAGGUUGUAUAUUACUUACAGUUCAAUACAAUCUAAACCUUAACCAGUCAUUCUCCUAGUUAGACUGUGAGCUCCUAGAGGGAAGUUUGGCAUGUGAUAUGUUUCUUAUGGUCCCUGCAGUAUCUAGCACGUGCUAGUAGGGAUCAGGUAUGCAAUACUCAUCUAUUGAUUGAUUUGGGAUACAGUGAGUUGAGGUAAGAGAGAAACAGAAGUCAACUCCAACACGUCAAAGAAUAAAGUUUGCUGUUGGUCUCAACAGCCCCAGGGCAUCUUUACUGCAGUGUGAUCUCUCUCUCCUAUCCAGUGAGGCUCCAAAAUAUGGCUUUAAUUAUCCUUCCUAAGUUUUACAAAAUUCACUGAGCUUUUGUCUUUAAAACAGUAUUCCUUCCCCAUCUCUGGUGUGAAAAAAAAAUUACGACCAGAGUUUUACAUCUUUUUCUUUCCGAUAUUUCCAGAAAAGUAUGCCCUAGUCUAAUUUGCAGGUGGAAAUUGAAAAUGUAUCUCGCUGACCUCAAGGGAUGAUAUUCAGGAGCUUCAGGGAAUCUUCAGCUAAUGGGAGAAGCACAAGCAGAUUAAUGGAUCCCAAAGACAAAAUGCCUAUCCUAGCUCAAAUGACAUCUCGUGGAUCUUGAAAAGUGGAGCUUUCUGUGCCCAUCUUCAGAAAGAGACAUCAGACAAUCUUAACAUUUCUGCAGCUGAACAUGGGAUGAGAAGAGGGCAAUCUUCCAGUGGGUCCACCACAUUUUCUUUCCAAUUGAGCCAAUUCAUGGUCUCUUCUGGCAACUGCAAGGCCAGAUGUGAAUUUACCACUUUAUUGAGUGAAGCGGUCUGGGCAUUGUGAGACUCACAUAUGCACCCAGAGGGGAAGGGACCCUCACUCUGGGAAUGGAAAUCAAUUCAUAAUUGUACCCAGACAAAUGGGGCACACACUUCAGAUCUAUUACAGGAUUUAGUCGGAAUCAGAAGAACAAAGGCAUAAAGUAGAAACACAUUCAUAUGCCAGGCACAGGUAGGGGCUGGGGAGGGUAGAAAGUCCAGGGUUCCUGGCCGGCGAAGAAGGGCUCUGCUCAGCAUCUCAUGCUGGAGUGCAAGAGUAUAAAAUAAGGUAACUAAGGACAUGAAGCUUGGCCGCCUGCACCAUUUGAAAAAAGAAAAAUCAAACUGUGUUUUAUGAGUUUUUCUGGCUGAGUGGGCUGAUGGUAAAAGUGAUUGCAUAAGUGAAUAAAUUGAAAUAUGUAUCCUGGUUGUGUCAAAAGCAAAAAUAAUUAUUUUGUUCUUGGUGAGAUAUAGUGUUUAACUGCCAACACAUCAACCCAAAUAAAAAGGAAAUCUGCCUUUAGAUCUAGUAAUACAUUUAUUAACAAAUGAUGUAUCUGAAUUAUCCAUCGUUUUGAUCCACAUUUUGCAGAAAGGCA
rnacentral:lncRNA from 1 species